GGAAGCAGGCAGAGGAAUUCGGCCAAGUAUAAUCUAUGUUUCAAACCUCUUUCUUUUUGUUCCCCAGCACUGCUAGGACAUGAAAGAGGAGGGUGUGGAGGAGAGGAGAGUGCCUGUAAAGUAAAGGUGAUUAUGACCUAGUCUCUCUCAUCACUGAGACUUGGAACUCACGGGUAAGGGCUGCAAUCCUUUGCUGACUAAAUAUCUGCUUAGGGAUUAUCUCUCCUGCCAAUUCUAGAAAUUAUAAACUAGCCCACACCAUGACACCCCAGAUUCUAACCAGCCCAUUUUGUCUUAUCUAAGGUUUUUGUUCAUUUAUCCAUUUUCCCCUCUUUUUCUUCAUCUUCUUAUCCUUUUGUUGGAGGAUGAACUUUCUUUAUGGGAAGAGCCCAAUAAUCAAAAGGUCUACAUAUUGGAGAUGGAAGUCAAGGUGCCCCCAGGACCACCUUGUCUGGUGGGGCUCAGGAACAACAAAUGACAGAGGCCACAGAAGAAAGAUUAAUGUAAACUCAGAAAAGAGAUAGAGUCCUUGAGAUUCCACCCUUCCUUCCUCCUUCCCUCUCUCCCCUACUUUUUCUUUCUUCUUUUUUCCUUCCUUCCUCUGCAGCUUCAUUAAGAUAAAAUUCAUACAGCAUACAGUUCUCUAAAGUGUACAAUUCAAUGGCAUUUGGUACAUUCACAGCGUUAUGCAGUACCAUAGUUUAGAAUAUUUUCAUUACUGUCAAAAGAAAUACCACAGCCCUUCGCCAUUACCCCACAAUCCUUCCAUACCCCUGCCCCAGCCUAGGAAACUAAAGCACUAUUUCUGUGAGCUUUAUUAACCGAAAAGCCACCUUCACCAAAGAUGUUGUAUAUUUAUAGAAUGCUGUAGAGCCUAUAAAUUGCUUUCCUAUAUUCAUUUCACUUUCAAUUUUUUCAUAACCCAUUCAGGUAGGCAGGGCAGGUGACUUUAUCUUGCAUUUUUCAGAAUAAUGUACUGGGGAAUUUCUUAAUGACAUUCUGGCUUCUACAGAGGGAUGAAGUGACACAGCUCUUCAUAUUGAUGAAAGAAAAAUACAGAGGAGUAAGUAGUAUUUUCUUUUGUAUUCCUUAAAGUUUAGGAAAGUAAAGGCAAAAAAAAAACCAAGAUGAAUAAACAAGAAGAAAGGACUUAUACUUCAUUUGGAGAAACUGAGGUGGAACACCCAUUAGAAUGCUCUGAUUAAUAUUUAUGAGCUGCUGGAACACACUGUCAAAGGGAGCAGCAAGAUCUUCCUCUCGUGAUUAGAAGAAAAAUAAGAAGGAAAACAUAAAACACAGUGGAGAGCUCUCUGGCAGGAUUGAAUUUAAGGAACAUUUGUAUCGGGAGACAGAGGAUGGAUGAGCUGGCUGUCCACAGUCUCUCCCAAGACAGGGACACCAUGAAGGCAGGUGACAGAAGCAUGUAUCUGUAAUUAGAUGAAGUUAUUCAUAUCCCCCAUAAGGAGGAGUUCCUAUUUAUUUUUGGUGCUCCUGUCUGUAAAGUGAGAAGCUGUAUACUCCCUCAGCUGUGGGCAAAACCCUCUAUGAGGCAUUUUAGAAACUGAAGAAAAGGUCAAUGUAUAAUCCCUGCCCUUCAAUUCAAUGUUUACUGCCUACCAGUGUGUUUUAGUAAUCUGCUGCCAUGUAACAAACUGCUUUAAAACUUAGUGGCUCGAACAGUAAUUUAUCAUUACAGUUUACAGUUCUGCAUGCUGAAGAGGCUCAGCAGGACAGUUCUUGUUUGGGUUCGCUCAUGAAAUCCUAGUCACACACUGACGGGGGCUGCAGUUGUCUGAGAUGGUCAUCAAAAUGGCACACUCUGGUGGCCAGUGUUGAAGGUGGCUGCUGGCUAGGAGCUCAGUUGGGGCUCUUAUGUGGACUGUCUUUAUACAGCUUUUCUAUGCUGCUUCAGCUGUUUGCAAAUGAUGGCUGUAAUCUGCUACACUUAGCACCUUGAUGGGGACAGUUGGACAUCUGGGCUCCUCUGGAGUCCUCUUCCUUUCCAUGCAGUGUCAGCACUUCUUCACAUGGCCUUUCCAUAACAGUAGUCUGAAUCUCAGUUCAGGGCUCCAGGAGACCAAGGCAGAAGCAACCAGUCCUUUUAAAGGUUAGGUCUGAACUGGCAUAGUGUCACUUUUGUUAUACUUUGUGUGUCACAACUUUGCUGCCCUUCUCAGAUUCAAGGGGAGAAGGCAUAGAUCCCACUUUGUAAUGAAAAGAGUGAACAGGGAGAUAAACUAAGUAUAGAUGGGAAGGGGGCCUAAAGAUGGGGAGAGAUGGGAAGGAAGGGAGGGGGAAGAGAAGUAAAAAAAUUUGAGUGGCAAUAUGUAUAUGUACCAGUUCCCUAUGGUGAAUGUGAUUAUUAUGCAUGGCAAAAUAUACUAAUAAAAAAAGGAAAAAGAGAUUUUUUUUUAAAAAAGAAUGAGUUUAAGUGACAUACUGAGGAGUCAGGAAAGAAUGCAUAGAUCCUCACUGGCAUCAGGCUACAGCAGUAUAGAUUCAAAUGGAAAAGUGCUGGAAGAAUUUUUAAAAAACUGAGUUAAAUGGGCUACAUUUUGGAAUAAUUCAUGAGCUGAUGCAUUUGUUUAAUAGACAUCUAUUGAAGUCAUAGUUAAUGUGGCUUCAUAUUAGAAAGAAAGUGUGGUUUCAUUUUACCAAGAUAAACAUGGCACAGCCUCUUUGGCUUCUAGACAGUCAUUUUUGAGCUUUGAAGGGUCAUCUUAUGCAUGAGCAUCUGGAAGGCGAAGAGGCUGUGCUAUGUUUACCUUUGUUAUAUAUAACAAAGGUAAAUAUAUACACACAAUUUUCUCAAUAUGAAAUGUUAUGCUUUAUACCAAAGACAACAUAGAAUAAUUCUGCAAAUGUAUGACGUUGCCACAGGUCUCCUGAUUUAGCAUAGUAUCAGACAAAAAAUAUAUUUAUCCCUAACACCAAAAAUUGAUGAAUUAUAUGGGGCAGCAUGGCCAAGUUAAAUAGGGUCCUUUGGCGAGAUUCCUGGAUGUUAGGUAUAUGGAGCUUCAUCAAAAAUUAUUUGGAAGCAAUGGGGUACGUUCAGCUGAAAUUUCUUAGAGACCUUGAGAAAACAGUGGCUAUAAUUUAUGUUUCUGAACCAGAACUUUUUGACAUGUCCAAAAGGCCUUCCACUGAGAGUGCUGGGAUAAGGAACGCUGCCCUGCCAUUGUUCCAUGUGCAUGUCACAGCUCGGUUGUAAAGAGAAGAUACAGUUAUAAGCAAAUGGAAGAAAAAGAGAUGUAGACAGCAAUUGAGAGAAGCAAUUGAAGAUGGAAACAGAGCUGGACAACCAUAGUGGAGAAAUGAAGAAGAGAGGGUAGAGUGAGUUUACCCAAGGUUGGAUUAGUAAGGGCCAACUGUCAGAGUGGAUUUGAUUGGAAGCCAAGUCAGUUGAAAUAAAUAGUAUUUUGGGCUAAUUUGUCUGUCUUAAAGAUUGGGUUAAUCAGUUUUAGUGGGAAGAUCUAGCCACCAUAUUAUAAUAAACCACACAGAAAGCUUACAACGAGGCAGACUAUAGCCCUUGACUGGUGGUGGGGUGGUGAGGACAUUGUCUUAGCACUGCUCAUCUCAGCUUGUUGGGGAUCUCAGGCUGAGGAUCAGGGAACACACUGGGUACUGGAGAAAGAAGACCAAUAAGGAAUGGGAUGCAUCAUCCCUUGCUUCCUUCUCUAACAACUACUUCACAUCAUCCCAACUCACCUUCCUAACACAUUGCUUUCCCUACACUUUUCUCUUGCUUAAUUCUAGCAAUUCAGGUUUGCAAGCAUGCCAUUCAAUUUCACAUUUCAGUUUAUGAAGCUGGCUUUGCCAUUUGGCUUUCAAAUCUACUAUCAGUGAGUCCCAGCAAAGUGUUUUUCUAGUUCUGCACUCUUGUGCCUUGGUGUUCCACUUUGAAUGUUCUGCCCUGUUCUUCUGAUUCUAGAUAUUUCAGUCUUCCUGCACAAUACAAUUUCCUAGAUUGCUCUAAAUGAGAUCCUCUCUCUUUUCAUUUAUGUGCUCAUUUGUUUAAGAGCUCAUUUACUCAUUUGUUUACUUAUUCAUUGGCUGAAUUAGUAUUGAUUUGCUAGUCAUAUUUAUUAAACAUCUACUAUUUGCCAAGCACUAGGUAUAUAGAGUUAAACACAUUCCCUACGCUCAAGGAGUUCGACUGAGAAAGAAACAAAUCUCAACUCCUACAGCACUCACUUAGCAGCAGUACCAUACUACUCUACCUUGCUGGUUGUGUUUGCUGGGUCCUCUUUUUGCUGUUUUCUUUAAUCUGUAAAACAAGUUUUUAAAAAGGUAGACAACUUUCUUCCUUUUAUUUUAGUCUCCCAAAAAGUCUUGUCCAUCUCAAAUUUGCUAAAACCCUAAAGGAUCUGAGAGUGGUGAGCUGGUGGCAACAAGUGUGCCAGUGUGGUGAAUGGGAGGGACGAUCAGCAUGCAAGGUGUGCUAAUCUUACAGGGAAAUAAAUCACUUGGUGUGACUCCCAGAACCUUAAAUUGAACCAAGAUUGGUGUUUCCCCUGCCUUAAAUCUACCUAGCAAUAAGGAAGGCCUCCGAGGAGAUUUCAACUUGUAUACCCUCCUGGUGUAAGGCCCUGCCUCUGAACAAUAAAUAGAAAGUGUCACUGGGAUCAACUGGGAGAUCAAUCAAGUUAGCAUGUGCUUCAAGGACCCAGCCAAGAGUAGAGGAUGCCAGAGCUGCCUCUCCUCCCAGCAAGCAUCCUGAAUAGGCAGCAAAGUUGUCUCUGUUCUGAGAUUGCAGAUUGUUGCUAGAGGAGACGUGCCAUCUUUCCCCUGUGGUUCAGCUGGUUAUGUAAGGUCAUCCACACAGAAAACAUGCUCUGGAGUACACAUGGUACAGUCAAAAGACAUAGAAACCAGAGUCAGGAGAGGUGGUUGUAGCCUUAGCCCUGGCCUUAAUGACCUGGGGCAAUCACUUUUCCUCUGGGUCUUUUUUUUUUUUUUCAUAUGAAAAAUAAGGGAGCUGAAAUAGCUCAGUAAGUUUUUUCAACUUUUUCUUAGUAGAAUCCUUUCAUCACAAAUCACAAUGCAGAAGCUUAGGGUGCAGAGAGUGUAGAAGCAGAGCUGAAUUGCCUGAUGAGGCCCAGCGGAGAAUGAACAGACUUCUCACUUGCUCCAUCUCCCAUCUUCUCUCCCUCUACCACAUAUUUUGAAAAUCUGUGGACUAGAAUGGUUGGCCUCUUAUGUUUUCUCCUGCUCAGGGUGCAUAACCAAAAUUAAUUUCAGGUGAGUCACAUCAAUAUAGACACAUUGACAAAUUGUAUAGAUUUACUACUGUCCAUCCUUGUCUUAACUAUUAACAAAGUUCUUUUUUUGAUUUUUUAAGAACUAAGCAAGUACAACUAGAAGUUUCAAUGUUUUCUUCCCACACCCCAGUGGAUUGUCUUGCUCCAUUCCUGGAGUGCACACACUCUGCUUUGGAGAGCACUGGCCCCCAGGGGUCUCCAGGUUCUUCCCAUUCCUGCUGUUUCAGAAAUCUGUGCCUGGAACAGAGAAAUAGCGCUGGUAUUCCCCAGCCCUUGGUAUUGCUUAUAGAAGAAGAGAGUUGCUGGGAGCUUGGGAGAGUCACUGUAGGAGGAGGAAAAAUAUAAGCUCAGGACAAUAUCCUAAUUCUGCUCUGUUCGCUGAGGUAUCUAUUUGGGAUUCUCCCCUGCUCUCACCUGUCGAGUCCCUCUAGCCUCCUGGUAAUAUUUCCUAGCACAUGUCUGGUAUGAUCUUCUGUUCUAGUUGUGAACCAGUAGCCUUGAAUCAGGCUAUGCCAGGAGAUCUUGUCAGAAAUCUUACGGAUGAAGAAUAGUAGCUUGAAAACUCUUUACUAUAGUUUAAGAAGUAUUUGGGGAGGACCAGGGAGACUAGGGGAUAUGCGUGAUGACCUCUUUUUCUCUUUAGGCUCUUGCCAAGGGGCUGUUCUGUUCCUAGAAAAUAAAAGGAGCUUGGGAGUAUUUCUGGGUCACUUUCUCUGGGGAGACCAUGGGACUCAGAGGAGAGGGGGCUGAGGCCAGUCCCCAGUCCCCAACCACUCAUAACUCAUUUGAGCGAUAUGCAAAGCUGUCAGAACUGCCAAAGCCUGCCUGCCAAAGCAGGCUUCUCUCCAAACGGGCUUCUCUAUUUAUGAGAAACUGAGAUAAAACACAGUGGACAAUUCCCCACAAGGACAUGCUUAAUAAAAAGCAAGACUGUGGGGAGAGACACAUCACCUUAAGCUGAAUGAUGACUUGGUGGGCCAGGGGCCUUGACCUAGGAGCAGCCAGAGAGCAAGUCUUACUAUCCUUCUGUCUUAGCAUGACCAACACCAAGACACUGGACACUGCAUUAGUUUCCUAAGGCCAUCGUGACAAAGUGCACAGACUAAGUGGUUUACACCAGCAGCAUUGCUUCUCUCGAGUCUGCAUGCUAGAGGUCUGAAAGCGAGGUGCUGGCUGGGCAAUUUCCCUCUGAAGGCUACAGAGCAGGGUGCUUCUUGCUCCUUCCUGAUUGUAGCAGUUGCUAGCAUUGUUGACAUUCCUUGGCUUGUAGCUACAUCACUCCAAUCUCUGCCUCUGUCUUCACACAACUUUCUCUCCUGUGCAUUUGUACCUUUUUGUCUAAAUUUCUCUCUUAUAACACCAAUCAUGUUGAAUUUAGGGCCUGACUUAAUAUAUGUAUGAUAGUAACAUGAUAAUUUCUACAAAGACCUUGUUUCUAAAUAAGGUCACAAUUACAGAUUCUGGGUGGAUAUAUAUUUUGGGGGAGAUAAAACACAAUGGAUUAUAGUUCCCAAAUGUACCUUUUGCCAGGGAAGAAUGAGAUCCAAUGAUAAACAGUUUGCUUUAUUUUCUUAAACUCAGAAUACUACACCCAGUCUUCAAGAGAGUAUAGGCAAAUGGGCAGGUUGAUGGUCUGGAAAUCUCUCUUUGGACUUCUCAUACUCACCAGUCUCCCAGAAGUCCCAAUGCUUAAGUCCCUCUCAACAGAAACCAGGCAAACAAAAGUCUCAUCACUUUUUAAUGGACUCCAAGAAAAGCCUUCACAGUGGGCACCCUUGAUGGGUGGGAGGUGUCCAAAUUUCAAAUGUGAUUGAUCAUUAAGAUGUGACUGAUCUGACUAUAUCAACUAAAUGAGACAGGAGCAUCUGCUCUGGAUUUAGCCUUGAAGGUCAACUUUAAGGCAUAGACCAAUGGCUCCUUUUUCUUUUUACCUUUUUAAAAGAGAAAUUUGACUCUCCAGAUUUAUAUAUUUGCAAUUUUUUUGGUUUCUCCCUUUUUCCCCCCUUACCUUCUCUUCCCCUUCUUAAUUUUGAUCCCUUCUGUCUGCUGUUUUCUCUAAUUUUUAGUUUCUACAAUUUUUUUUUUUAAAUCCUCCUUUCUAUUCCUUCUCCUGGCCAGCAGAACAGAACUCAGCCUCUCUCAGGGGUGCUGACUCAGGCCCUCUCCCUUCUUUGAAGCCCUAAUUGCUCGCUCUGUUCACAUCAAUAGAGCUAGAGAUGAGAAAGAGGAGAGUGGAAAAGGGUAGAGGGCAUGGAGGGAAAAAUGACACCUCAGAGGGAACACUGGAAAAUGUCAGGAAAUGACUGAAACUCAAGCACCGAGCCCAGCCAAGACCAACAGCAGAAAAAGUGGGAACAAAAGAGGGAAGGACAUGAAAACCCAAGGCAAAGCACAGAGGAGACAAUCUGGGAAAAUGUAGGGCAAUACUGGAAGCAAAGACAACAAGGGCACAAGACGAGGCCAGACAAGGAGGGCCAGGGAAUUAGAAUGGAUAAGAGGUAGCUGGAUGUUGUUGUAUGUGAUUAAGCUCUUCAUAUGUGAUUUGAUUCCAUAAGCUUUUCUGACGCAUACAGUGUUUAAUGCUUACUGGGUCUGUCUUGCUGAGCAAACCAUGAAAAAGUCCCAUAAUCUGGUCUAUCAAACCCUUGCCUUUUAGCUCAGUGUCAUUGCAUCUUAUGAAUUUCUCAAAAAGUAACACUUAGGCCAGAGGUCUUUUCUUGUUCUUAGGACCCCAGAAAAUGACAGAUUUCCCUUUGCUGUCUAGAACAGACCUGCUGGGAUUCCCAGGAGGCAGGGCUAAUCUUGAGUCAGCAAUGAUAAGUGCAGAACUUUGGAAGCCAACUUCUUUUGCUGGAACUCUCUCUCUCUCUCUCUCUUUUCAGUACUCUUUCCUUUCUUAUCCAAGGAUUCACAGGUGCAGUUUCCUUCAUUACUCUGAAAACUUGUGACCUCCCUCUCCCGAUCAAAAUAUCUUUAUUAGUGCCAAGCAUAAAUACUUGCCAGCUAACAUUCACUCUCCAAGGUCAUGGCAUCCAUUGUCCCUAACCCUAAAUGUUCCACAGUUAGGGGACCACUGGGCACCCUGAGAUUUCACCAAGUGCAUGGGUCUGAAGUGAUUAGCAAAUCUUGCCCAGGGGCUGAAGGAAAGGAAUUAUCUAGGCCAUGCUACACGGGCUUCCGUAUGUCAUCAGAAUUAUUCUUGAAGAUCCCUUAGAAAAAUAGCAUUUUGCAGACCAGUUAUUUCACAUGCUUCAAGGAACAUCGAAGGGAUAGUAAUUGGCUUAAAUUUUAGAGGCAAGCUGGUCUUCUGAGCUUAUCGAAAUACCUUUUGUCUGUUUGAGUUUGGAAUCACAUGGACUCCCUUGGAUAGAUGUUUGCAGUUGAAAAUGGAAUGGUUUUGUCUCAAAUUGAUAGGAACCCAGAUUCCUUUAUACUUCUAAACUGCAGCUUUCAGAGGCAAAUGAUAGGCAGUUAUUUCUAUUUUCUCCUUGAGGAGGGCAUACACUAACACUUAUGUAAAUUAAAAGUAAGCCUUGGGGCCUCCUCUCUAACGACGAUGUGAGCUUUUUGGUGGGUGGGCAAUAUGGUAAAAGGGAUGAGGGGGUCACUUUCUUCUAAGUAUGCUGGAAAAGUCAGGACUGUCUUGGAAUUGUUAGACCCACUCUGCUCCCACCUCUCUCCUCCCACAGGGACCCACCUGAGGUCCAGAUAGUACGAGAUUCAAAAAAACCUCAUGUUGUAUUUUGGAGAUUUAUCAUCAAAUUUCUCUCAUACUGGAGCUUCCAAAGUGAAUCACUGCUGUCUACUGCAGACCCAGCUCCUGACCAGGGCCCCCCAGCUGAGAAAACUAGGUGGAGCCACAGUUCGGAGGAGCCGAGGGGAAGGGCAAUGACCGCCAGGACUUUGGGAGAAGGGAUGAUGCUGAUAGCAAAGCCUUUCUUUCUUAUGGGGCUGAAGUGAAGUCAGAUGUGGAGUUGUGGGCACUGGAAAUCUAAGGAGAGGUUCCUAGAUUCUCACCUCCACAAACCAGUGCCUAUAGGGAGCAGCUGCAAAAACACCAAGGCACAGCCCCCUGGGUUUGCAAAUGCUAGCAUUACAGCCAGCAACCUUGGGCCUGAGGAGCAGGGCAUGAGGAAGAGUGCCUGGACAGCCCACAGGCUCUGGAACUCUGCUGCAUCUCAUCUCUGGGUCUUAUUUUGGCUUAUGGUCUGAGGUGGACUUAAUUCAAAUGAAGGUGAGGGUGUACUCGAGCAGCUUCAUCUUGUUACUUAGAAAACCCCAAGCAGAAUGAUAAAGCUUUUUUCCCUGAAAGCCCAGUCAAAGUCCUGGGGAAGGAUUUCAGGGACUCAAUGUGGCUCAUGUGGGUUCCUCUGAAGAAAGCAAACAGCCUUUUACUAGUCCCACUUCAUCAAGCUGCCCAGCCCUAGGAGCGGGAGUUAAGAGCAGUCUCUCCGAAACUCCACGAUGGCUCACUCAAGGGAAAUUAGAGUGAUCUCCAGGGAAGGGGAUGCUGGCCAGACAGAACCAAAGUGCCCUCUAACAGAUGGACUGAAUGGAACCUAUGGACUACGUGGCCCAAGAAGCAUCUGUGUAUAAAGUCAAGCUCGAGACAGAAGUGAUUUUCUUCUUCACAUUGACCAGGUUUCAGCAGGGCUCACCCAGUGUGGUGUCUACUCUUGCUUCUCUUGUUGUCUCUACGAGCGGUUUCACUGGUGCCAAGACAGUUUCCCGUCAGACCGCCAGUGUCUUCUUAUUGGACCAGAAAGCCUCCUCUCACCAGAGUCCAAAUUCAUGUGCCUACAUAUGACCAGGUACAGUUGCAGACAAACAACCACAAUCGCCUAUAAAUGGCCUCAGCCGGAUCUUUCCCCUCAG
rnacentral:lncRNA from 1 species